UACGUAGGGUGCGAGCGUUGUCCGGAAUUACUGGGCGUAAAGAGCUCGUAGGUGGUUUGUCGCGUUGUUCGUGAAAACUCACAACUCAAUUGUGGGCGUGCGGGCGAUACGGGCAGACUGGAGUACUGCAGGGGAGACUGGAAUUCCUGGUGUAGCGGUGGAAUGCGCAGAGUAUCAGGAGGAACACCGGUGGCGAAGGCGGGUCUCUGGGCAGUAACUGACGCUGAGGAGCGAAAAGCGUGGGGAGCGAACAGGA
rnacentral:rRNA from 1 species